rnacentral:rRNA from 1 species
GACGAACCGUGCGAACGUUGUUCGGAUUCACUGGGCUUAAAGGGCGCGUAGGCGGGCUCGUUAGUCAGGGGUGAAAUCCUCCGGCUCAACCGGAGAAGGGCUUCUGAUACUGCGGGCCUGGAGGGAGGUAGGGGCAGAUGGAACUUCCGGUGGAGCGGUGAAAUGCGUAGAUAUCGGAAGGAACGCCGGUGGCGAAAGCGAUCUGCUGGACCUCUUCUGACGCUGAGGCGCGAAAGCCAGGGGAGCAAACGGG